CCUCACAGGGUGUUUGUUGUGAGGGGGGAAGGGCAAGGAGAUUGUCAGCCCCUUUGAAUCUCCUGCAAGAGAGAAAGGGGGGAUAUAAAUCCAAACUCUUCUUCUUCUUCUUCUUCUUCAUUAUCUGCCCCAGGUUUGCUACACCAGAGGAGGUGACAGAGAAGCAGGACAUGACGUUCCCAGCCUGGAGAAAGGCAGAGUCCCCCCGCAAGGGCUGAUCAGGGUCUCACGCCUCUCGACUCACCCAUUGGGGCCAGCCAAAGGGCAGCGCGGCCUUCGCUGAGUGGGGGCAGGAACAACCUUGGCUCUUAGUAAGCUGCAGGGUCUGGGGGUAAUGUUGGAGAUGCCAGAGGUUUUCCAGAUGGUCCCAGCUGCCUCCCCCCACCCCUUAAAUGGCAGGGCAAGGGCUGAAGUCUGUUCUCAGCCAGACUGUUUUUGACACUAGCAGGGGUAGCUUUUUGGCAUGGCCAGCAGUGUGCGUGUGCUCCGCGAGAGCUUUUUUGCGAGAGCCCCCCGUCCAGCAGCCGCCUCUUACUCGCCUGUUAGAUGCAGCUCCCAAGGCUGUCCUUGGUCUUUAUAUCAGUACGCUGUUCCAGGCUGUAUUUGGAGACACUAGUAGUUAGUUUACAAUUUGGGCGUCUUCGCCUCCUGCAGCACGUAAUCCUUGUGGUUCCCUUUCGGUGCUGCUGUGGUGGCUGCCAAAGGCAUCCCUCCCACAGGGACCAGGCCAGCACCACAGAUGCCUUUGCCGUGUGGCUCCCUGUGCUGCGGAGUGCAUGGAAGUCAGCAGGCCGGUUGGUGUUAACACAACUGCUGACAUGACAGCAACAGCCACGAGCCAGUUCAGGCAAGCACAGGCUGCUUCUAUGUGGCAGGGAUGCUCUGCGUGGCUUUUGUUGCCCUCUGGGGACGCAGAGGCGUUUGCCACAGCAACGGAGUGUCCAGGCAGAGAUUUCACGCCUGCUAACCUCACCUCGACUUUCCUCGGCCGUCGGGCAGCACCAGAAAGCUGCUUUGGGCGUUUUGGACGUAUCCGCAACUGAUGUACUCUUUGGCAUCGUAACGUUCUAUUGGCUUCUCUGAAUUCUGAGCAUUUUUUAAAAGUCUUCCUCUUCUUUCGUUGCAGAGAUAGAAGGGAAUAGGCAUGUCUCCAUGACUUCCUUAAAGAUUGGAAGCAGUGUAUUUUAGGGAACUUUUGGGUGUGGAAUAAUCUAAUAAAGCCAGAAGUGAAGCAAGGUCGGUACUUGGAUGGGAGACCACCAAGGAAGACUCUGCAGAAGAAGGCAAUGACAAACCACCUCUGCUGCUGCUCACUUGCCUUGAAAACCCCUUGCUGGGGCCACCAUACGCCAGUUGUGACUUGUCAGCCCUUUACAAACACAUUCAGAGGAACUAGUAGAUUGUCACCCUACUAAAGAUGUCAGUUGCUGACUAUUUUUUAAAAAAACAAGGGGCCUCCAGCGGCCGGUGAGAAGGGGGCGGGGGGUUGAAGAAGGGAAAUGGUGCGGAUGCUGAGGAAACCUGCAAAAAUUAUCUUCCCAGCAAGAUUAUGCCAGGGUUGAGAAAGGUGUCAGUGAGGCUAAGAGCACACUGAAAGUGGGGGGUUCAGGGAGGAUGCUGGGAAAACAACAACCCUGCUCUGUUUUGCUGGCCAAACGAGCAAAAUGUCCCUGUGGCAGCAGUUGAGAUGGGCUUUUAAAAAAUGCACAGGAAAGCAGACCUCGGCAAACAGUUGGCCCCACCACGCAAAUAGCACUUUUCCUGAAAGGUUAGUACUUCUGUGCCUAAGGGAGGCUUCCCAGCACAGAAAAAGUGUGUCUGGUCGCCUUAUCCCCGAACAGUAGGCAGUUGAGGAGAUGGAUAGAUGGAUGUGUGCCCUGGAGCAUUCCUGGUCAUUCCACCAGGGGUCUGGCAGCUUCCGAGGUGGGGCCUGCUUCCCUUGGGGCGGGGGGGGGGGGGGGGCAGGGAAAGCCUCGAGCUUAUUCUUGCUGGUGACCUCUUGAUUGCCUUUCAGCCGAUGUGCUGCUUAGUUUUCUUUGGUCCCUGACUGGCGUCGGUCUGUUCCGGGGGUCUCCUCUGCUUCUAGAACUAGUAGCUAGUUUACAGUUUGGGUAAAUGCAACUUCCCAGGCCCAAAGUGCCAAAGAUAAGAUUUCCUUGUAGGAUCUCUUAGAACAACUUGCACAGAAACCACUACAAAGCAAUUGUCUGUUCCACGCGUGUUCUGUGUGGGGGCACAUGUGAUAUCGUAUGAUAUUUGCUAUUCAGGCACAGUUAGUGAUGCUGCCACAUGCAAUCUCAAAUGUACAACCAACUUUAUUUUUGUAUUCUUUGUAAAUGCUAUUUAUACAAGAGUGACUCCCCACCUCUGCAGUUUUUAUUCUCAAGUCUUAAGAGUCUCCAGGUGACCAGUAUCCAGGUAAACCAAGCAAGGAUGCUUGGGCAAUUUUGGAAGGACCUGAAGCCGUAAGCCUUUGAGAGCUCUGUAUACGCUAGAGAUGCGUUAACCACCUCCACCUUCUGGGUUAUGUUGAUUAUAUAGUAUUGUACAUUACAAUGGCAAGAUGACCAAUGGCAAAGGUAGCCUUUGUGUGGUGUACAAUAAAGGUGUGGAUACCUUUA